UUUUUUUUUUGAUAGGGGGAGAAAGAUUGCAGGGUUUUGUCCACGAACCCCAAAAUAAAAGCCUUACAAAGCUUUCACUGAAGCACCUGGGAAAGCACAGGAGAGGGAUUCGCCUUUGUUCCUGCUGAUUUCCUAUUUUGCAGUCCGCCAGAAUAGGUUGUACAUUUUCCUUUCUCACAGUAUAGCUUUGAAAAUCAGAAUUUUCACAGACAUAUCUUAUUAGCUGUUUUUAAAAAUAUAGGUUUAAACACUUUUUUCUUUCUUGUUUUCACUUUCUCUUUUCGUUUUCUGCUUCAUGCGCAGAUGACAGUGACCAAUCAGGUCAGAAACAAAGGGCACUUUCAAACAUUAUUGAAAGAAGUUUCAGAAAGCGAAUAUUUUCCAGAAGGGGAGGAAAUAUGUGGAUAAAAAGUCUUCGAUGCUGUGCAUUCACAAUGGAAGAUCUACACAACGUGUAUUGCCGUGACUGUGAAAUAGAAUUUCCUGCAGUAGGAUUUGCUUUUGGACAGAGGUUGUAAAGUCACCUUUCUGUCUGUCAGAGCAGAUGGACUCCUGCAGCUCCUUGAGGCAACGCGAGGAAUGAUAAGGAAGGCAGAACCAGAGCCCGCAUUUGUGCACCGUUAAACUUUGCAUUGCCUCUCAGUCACUGUUGGAACUGGUUUAUCAGUUCUAAAGACUUUUUUCUCUUUAACAGGAUGAAGUAUUCCAUGGGAAAAGGUGGCUGUUUUUUUUCUUUUUUUUUUUUCAUCCAUUUUGGCUCCAAAAUGAGGAAUGUAGGAGCAGAAAAUAUCUUCUGUUACAAACUGAAGUAACCCCUGUUUUUAUUCAACAUUCUCAGCAUUCGGCUUCUGGAAACACAGGUAUAACAAAGGAAAACACUGCAUUAAUUUUGUUUUUUAAUAAGGAUAGCAGAGACCUGGCCACUGCUUGUACUGCUAUGCCCAUGCUCAAGGAUUUGGGCUCAGCAGAGCAACUCAGAGUGACUAAAACAGAGUACACAAACCGCUUGCUGCAGAACUGGGAUCGCUGUGCCUGGAGGACGGCUCUAAUGCUUUCCAGGCUCAUGCACUCAGCGAGCUGCCGCUCUCCGCCGAGCAUCUUUCUAACCUGUUUUGAUCCUGGCAGCAUUGGCAAGGUUGCUCCUAAAACACAGUAGUUUGAGCAGAAUAUUUCCUUCCAAUGUUUUCCCCCUUCUCACAGCUUUUAAGUGGGAAGGACGGACGUUUAUUCACAAAGCAGUGGAGUACCGUGGUGUUUCCCUGUUUCCUUUUUUUUUUUUUUUACCCUGUUUAGAUGUUUGUGGCACAGAUGUGAAUUAAAAUAAUAAUAAUAAUAAUAAUAAUAAUAAUAAUAAUAAUAAUAGUGGCAAAUGCUUCUAAUUCUGGUGGUGCUGUAUUUCCUGGAGGGACCUCUCCACGUUGCAGCCUCCUUGUGCUGUUUGUUACCAUGUCAAUCCCCAUUUUCCUUCGAACUCCGGUAUGCCGCAUACCACUGAAUUUGCAUGAAAAGUGUCUUUAUUGUAAGCAAAAUCUUGUCAGCCAGGUAUGCAACAUCCUGCAUCAGUAACCAUGUUGGUGGAGCUGGCUUUUCCCUCCCAGGGAAAGCUGGAGGGGUUUUACAAAAUAUAUCCGUGGAAGAUCCCGAGGGCUGUUUUAUAAUGGAAGCAGGAAAAGAAGGAGAGUGUGUGUCAGAGAAGAGAGAGGAUGCAUUAGUUAUUUGUUGUCUGUGCAAUGGGAUGAAGAAUAUAUACCCAUCCAAACAGGCUUAUAUCCACAUUCCUGCAUUUAUCUGCAUUUCCUUUUGCGAGCACGAAGCUUCAAUGUCUCCGCGGUCUGUGAGCUUUGCAUUAACGUGAUAAGAGCGUUUCCUCUGUCUAGGCGUUCUUUAAAUUGAGCUUUGUGCAUGAAAUAAAUGGUUAUUUCAGAG
rnacentral:lncRNA from 1 species